rnacentral:rRNA from 1 species
UACGUAGGGUGCGAGCGUUAAUCGGAAUUACUGGGCGUAAAGCGUGCGCAGGCGGUUAUUUAAGUCAGGUGUGGAAGCCCUGGGCUUAACCUAGGAAUUGCGCUUGAGACUGGAUAGCUUGGAGUGCGGCAGAGGGAGGUGGAAUUCCACGUGUAGCAGUGAAAUGCGUAGAGAUGUGGAGGAACACCGAUGGCGAAGGCAGCCUCCUGGGCCAGCACUGACGCUCAUGCACGAAAGCGUGGGGAGCAAACAGG